rnacentral:rRNA from 1 species
UACGUAGGGGGCGAGCGUUGUCCGGAUUUAUUGGGCGUAAAGAGCGUGUAGGCGGCCAGGUAGGUCUGCUGUGAAAACUCGAGGCUCAACCUCGAGACGUCGGCGGAAACCAUCUGGCUAGAGUCCGGAAGAGGAGAGUGGAAUUCCUGGUGUAGCGGUGAAAUGCGCAGAUAUCAGGAAGAACACCCGUGGCGAAGGCGGCUCUCUGGGACGGUACUGACGCUGAGACGCGAACGCGUGGGGAGCGAACAGG